GAUGAACGCUAGCGGCAGGCUUAACACAUGCAAGUCGAGGGGUAUAUUUCUUCGGAGAUAGAGACCGGCGCACGGGUGCGUAACGCGUAUGCAAUCUACCUUUUACAGAGGGAUAGCCCAGAGAAAUUUGGAUUAAUACCUCAUAGUAUAGUAGUUUCGCAUGAAACCACUAUUAAAGUCACAACGGUAAAAGAUGAGCAUGCGUCCCAUUAGCUAGUUGGUAAGGUAACGGCUUACCAAGGCUACGAUGGGUAGGGGUCCUGAGAGGGAGAUCCCCCCACACUGGUACUGAGACACGGACCAGACUCCUACGGGAGGCAGCAGUGAGGAAUAUUGGACAAUGGGCGCAAGCCUGAUCCAGCCAUGCCGCGUGCAGGAUGACGGU
rnacentral:rRNA from 1 species